UGAAGUCAGGCAGAAUUUCUGCUCUCGCUGCCCAGUGCAAAUCAUUUAAAACAAAGCCUCAGGGUCACUGUAUCCGUACGGAUAACUGUUAACCCCAUCCACUCUCCUUUCCUUUCAUUACUUGUCUUUUCAAGGGGACAGUCGAGAGAAGGUGACGUCUUCGUUAAAAAAAGGGAAUGGAAGCCUGUGUUUUUCUCUUGGGGGACAUCAUAAUGAUUUGAUUUACUGGCGGUCAUUUGAUCAACAGCGUACGCUCCACUCCCUAAACACACACUCCUCCUCGAGAAACAAUCAGAGGCAGACGCACGCAAGAAGGUGCAGGCUGCCGGACAUCUCGGGGCUGGAAUCACAUUCAUUCUCAUUAGACUGCGAUAGUGUCAGCUGGAGGCAGGGGAGGCACGAGCCAGGGUCAUAAAAACUACCUCACUACCUUUUCCCGCCAUUACCUCAUACAGAUCACAUCAUACCCAGUCAGCCAUUCUCCAGUCUACGCCGAAGCUGCACACUGGCGUAUGUUUUUAAUGUGCAUCGCUUUUCUGCCGGUCACUUUUACCAGCUUCUUGUCAAACUACCUUCGUAAACAGUGAAGGAAAUGGCCCGUCGUCAGCCUUCAAGCAUAAGCAGUUUUCAACAGGUUUUGAGGUUGGCGACAGUGGAGGUCAAUAGAGAUGGCUCCAUGAGAUGAACUGGCUCGCUCCCCAGAGACAUGCGUUCUCAGUGAGGCCCAGUGAUAGAUGAAGUGUGUGAGGGAUCGGUUCGGGCCCGUGUUCAAUCAAACUUCAUGGCUUACAUUACAGUGGAUGAUGCAUGGGCACUUCUUUGGACCUGUUUUAUGUUCUGUAGGCCCAGGAGCGUGGCAUUGUUUGCACUGUCCAAAACCUCCUGCUCCCCUGCUUGGCCCAAUCUGGAGAGAGUUAGUGCCAUCCCAAUGGACCAGGUCAAGCAUGCCUUUUGUGCUGAUCUAGGAUCAGCUGUGUUUAUUUGAAUCUUCACCUUAUACACUUGAAGAGGAGCCACAAGACUGAUCUCAAACCGAUUUCAGGCAAACCCUUCAAUCUCCGUCAUGGAUCAGCUGUUGUCCACAGUGUCUCAGUGUCACACUGAGGAGGACAAAAAAACUCUAGUUUUUAUUGCUUGAUACCCAGUGUACUGAUUUAUUU